rnacentral:rRNA from 1 species
GACGAACGCCGGCGGCGUGCUUAACACAUGCAAGUCGAACGGAAAGGCCCUGCUUUUGUGGGGUGCUCGAGUGGCGAACGGGUGAGUAACACGUGAGUAACCUGCCCUUGACUUUGGGAUAACUUCAGGAAACUGGGGCUAAUACCGGAUAGGAGCCCCUGCUGCAUGGUGGGAGUUGGAAAGUUUCGGCGGUUGGGGAUGGACUCGCGGCUUAUCAGCUUGUUGGUGGGGUAGUGGCUUACCAAGGCUUUGACGGGUAGCCGGCCUGAGAGGGUGACCGGCCACAUUGGGACUGAGAUACGGCCCAGACUCCUACGGGAGGCAGCAGUGGGGAAUAUUGCACAAUGGGCGGAAGCCUGAUGCAGCAACGCCGCGUGCGGGAUGACGGCCUUCGGGUUGUAAACCGCUUUCGCCUGUGACGAAGCGUGAGUGACGGUAAUGGGUAAAGAAGCACCGGCUAACUACGUG